CCUCUCCUAAUCCACGCCCCAGCCCACACACUCCCAAGUCCCAUGGGGUCGGCCCCAAACAUCACCUGCUUAUUACCUGCGUUUGUUGAAAGGCCCGUGCAGCAGGGAACAUGCCAAGACACGGUCCCUAGACCCUUGGCUCACCAUCUGAGAGGAACGAGCUGCCAACCCAGCAGCAGCAGAAAGCCGCAAAGAGGUCCCAGCCUCCCCACCCCCAGCCAGAAGGCUUCACCAUAUUGCUGUGGACCGUAGAUUUCAUAGCCUCCACCAAUCUUCAGUCCCUUGCAGUCUGUGGUCCUCCAGCAGCCCCAGACCAUCUCAACUCUGCUAGGACCAUUGUAGGUAAGUGUCUGAAGCCUGGCUCCUGAUCUUGGGAAAGCAAAUCCUAAACCAGCUGGGGUUUGAGUCUAGGUAAGAGAAGAACAAGGGAUGAAGGUUACGAUUAGAUCCCAGAAAGGCUAGGAAGGAAAAAGUGAGUAUUUUGUGCCCAUCCAUUUAGGGUUUGGCAGUCUAACAUACUACCUGAGAAAAUUCCCAGAAAGUUUCUCC
rnacentral:lncRNA from 1 species